CUGCUGAAGGUACAGCAUAUAUACUAAAAUUGGAACAAUACAGAGGAAAUUAGCAUGGUCCAUGGGCAAGGAUGAAAUGUAAAUUUGUAAAAUGUUCCAUUAAACA
rnacentral:snRNA from 1 species